rnacentral:lncRNA from 1 species
GGGUAGCCUACACAGUUCCUAAGUUGAGAUGUUUUAAUUUACUGAUAAUUAUAAGUCAAAGUAUAAAAAUAUUUACAUUCAAUUUUUUGUUAAAAAAUAGAAGUCAACACAGAUGCAGUGAAGUUAUACCGGGUAUAGCCCUUCUAUUUUUAUCCAAAUAUCCCGCUAUAAAGUUUAAUAAUUUUUUCAAUUUGGAUUCAAAUACUCAAUUAGGCAAAAAUAUUUUGAAAAUAUUAU